CCUACGUGAGGCAGCAGUGAGGAAUAUUGGUCAAUGGGCGCGAGCCUGAACCAGCAAAGUAGCGUGAAGGAUGACUGCCCUACGGGUUGUAAACUUCUUUUAUAAAGGAAUAAAGUGAGGCACGUGUGCCUUUUUGUAUGUACUUUAUGAAUAAGGAUCGGCUAACGCCGGUCCAGCAGCCGCGGUAAUACGGAGGAUCCGAGCGUUAUCCGGAUUUAUUGGGUUUAAAGGGAGCGUAGAUGGGUUGUUAAGUCAGUUGUGAAAGUUUGUGGCUCAACCGUAAAAUUGCAAUUGGUACUGGCAGUCUUGAGUACAGUUGAGGUAGGCGGAAUUCGUGGUGUAGCGGUGAAAUGCUUAGAUAUCACGAAGAACUCCGAUUGCGAAGGCAGCUUACUAAACUGCCACUGACAUUGAUGCUCGAAAGUGUGGGUAUCAAACAGGAUUAGAUACCCUUGUAGUC
rnacentral:rRNA from 1 species